rnacentral:rRNA from 1 species
GUGAGGAAUUUUGCGCAAUGGGGGCAACCCUGACGCAGCGACGCCGCGUGGAGGACGAAGUCUUUCGGGAUGUAAACUCCUGUCAGUGGGGACGAUAAUGACGGUACCCACAGAGGAAGCACCGGCUAACUCCGUGCCAGCAGCCGCGGUAAGACGGAGGGUGCAAGCGUUGUUCGGAAUUACUGGGCGUAAAGCGUAUGUAGGCGGCAAGUUAAGUUCAAUGUUAAAGCCUACGGCUCAACCGAGGAGGUGCAUUGAAUACUGGCUAGCUAGAGGGUGUUAGAGGAAGACGGAAUUCCCAGUGUAGCGGUGAAAUGCGUAGAUAUUGGGAGGAACAUCGGUAGCGAAAGCGGUCUUCUGGGACAUACCUGACGCUGAGGUACGAAAGCGUGGGGAGCAAACGGGAUUAGAUACCCGAGUAGUCC